rnacentral:misc_RNA from 1 species
GUAGGUGAACCUGCGGAAGGAUCAUUACUAGAGCAAAGGAUAGACAGCGCCCGCGGAGCUUGCUCCCUGGGGCCACCUUACUUCGGUAGGGUUUAGAGUCGUCGAGCCUCUCGAAGAAGCUCGGUCCUGAACUCCACCCUUGAAUAAAUUACCUUUGUUGCUUUGGCGGGCCGCCUCGUGCCAACGGCUUCGGCUGUUGCGUGCUCGCCAGAGGACCACAACCCUUGUUUUUAGUGAUGUCUGAGUACUA